GUGCCAACCUGACAAUAAGCAAUUUCACACACAGACAUGGGGGGAACAGAGGGUUAAAUACACGACAAGUAAUGAGGGAAUGUAAACCAGGUGUGUGGGAAAACAAGACAAAACAAAUGGAAAAUGAAAGGUGGAUCGGUGAUGGCUAGAAGACCGGUGAUGUCGACCGCCGAAUGCCGCCCGAACAAGGAGAGGAACCGACUUCAGCGGAAGUCGUGACAGUCAGAUAUUGCGCUGCAGUUUAGGGUUUCCCCCAGCCUGAUGUGUGGUGGAUGGACUCCAUUGGAGGAGACAUCUCCAAUUAGAGCCACGGCCGUAUCGGUCUGGACAGCAGGGGGCGCUAUGAUGUCCACAGCUCCAUGGAGGUCAGGCCAAACAGUACACUCACCAUAAUUGCUGAAAUGAGACUGGAGGUUCUCAAUCAAAGCUUCACCCACUCGC
rnacentral:lncRNA from 1 species